rnacentral:misc_RNA from 1 species
GAUGAAGAACGUAGCGAAAUGCGAUAAGUAAUGUGAAUUGCAGAAUUCAGUGAAUCAUCGAAUCUUUGAACGCACAUUGCGCCCCUUGGUAUUCCGAGGGGCAUGCCUGUUCGAGCGUCAUUAUAACCCCUCAAGCUCAGCUUGGUGUUGGGGCCUGCCGCACGGGCAGCCCUUAAAAUCAGUGGCGGUGCCAUCUGGCUCUAAGCGUAGUAAUUCUUCUCGCUAUAGAGUCCCGGUGGAUGCUUGCCAUUAACCCCCAAUUUUCUAUGGUUGACCUCGGAUCAGGUAGGGAUACCCGCUGAACUUAAGCAUAUCAAUAAGCGAGGA